rnacentral:rRNA from 1 species
AGAGUUUGAUCAUGGCUCAGAUUGAACGCUGGCGGAAUGCUUACACAUGCAAGUCGAACGGCAGCACGGGGCAACCUGGUGGCGAGUGGCGAACGGGUGAGUAAUACAUCGGAACGUGCCCAAUCGUGGGGGAUAACGUAGCGAAAGUUACGCUAAUACCGCAUACGAUCUACGGAUGAAAGCGGGGGAUCGCAAGACCUCGCGCGAAUGGAGCGGCCGAUGUCAGAUUAGGUAGUUGGUGGGGUAAAGGCUCACCAAGCCAACGAUCUGUAGCUGGUCUGAGAGGACGACCAGCCACACUGGAACUGAGACACGGUCCAGACUCCUACGGGAGGCAGCAGUGGGGAAUUUUGGACAAUGGGCGCAAGCCUGAUCCAGCCAUUCCGCGUGCAGGAUGAAGGCCUUCGGGUUGUAAACUGCUUUUGUACGGAACGAAAAGGUCCUGGUUAAUACCUGGGGCUCAUGACGGUACCGUAAGAAUAAGCACCGGCUAACUACGUG